rnacentral:lncRNA from 1 species
GUGAAAUCCUUGUUUGUGUGGUCUCUGUAGACAUUUCAUGCCAAAGGUGGUGAUUUCUCCAAGGUUCUUGUUAUACCCAUAACCUCAAAUGCUUUGGGAUGAAACUCUGCUCAGGUUUACAUUUUAAUUCAUACCUUAAGGCAAUUCAGUGAGGGAAGACCUCUACGUAUGCUGCUGGAUUACUUAGUUGGUAAGUAAAUAUAAUUUGUCAGUGACCACACUAAAUGGAACAGAGUGGAGGAUUCUAGAAUGAAAUAGGGAGACGGCAUCUGCUGCCACUCCUCAAGGACACAUGAUCUGUCUGUAAAUAAAUUUAGGUGUAAAUCUCUCCUUUCCCCAACUUCCAGGCUGACUCUACUUCCAUUAUUCUAGCAUUUCUAUGUUCCCUUAUUUCCUCUACUUCUUUUUAACUUCCUUUUCCAUUUUUCCUUAUCUUAUUUCUUUCCUCUCGUUCCUCUCUCACCCCCUUGCCACCCUUUAAGUAAGUCUUGAAUAAAAAUGUUCCUGUUGUGAAAACUGACUAGUGUUUUGUUUGUUUGUUUGUUUGUUUGUUUGUUUUUCUGAUUGUUACCCAGAGCAAAAAUGGCAGAAUUCAGAAGGAAUUUGUGGAAGUGGAGCUUCUGUUACUCGUAAUUGAAGAAAGACUAAUUCUCCCCAUGUAAUUGAGAAAGAGGACUAUUUCUAAGCAUGGAAUUGAUGACAGAAGUGCUUUACAGAGAGGUAACAAUAGGGAAGAGUCUCCAUGGACUGACUGUCCCCCUGAUCCACUCGGUUCUGCCCAAGUGUAAAAUAAUCUUGAAUGAAGUUCAGUCAACUUGGGAUUCACAGUACACAAAAGCUAAAAACUUCUCAAAGCAGACAGUAUCUCCAGAACAAGAAAGAUCAUACUCAGAACUCGUCGUCUCACUUGAAGAUUCGACAUCAUAGAGAGUCAAAGAUAAAAUGCCUAACCGCGAACUGCGGUUUUGGUAAACAAGGUACCCUUCGGGUUAUUUUAAAAUUCAGCAUCAGUUGCAUUACUUUCCUGCUCAUGUGACAUUUUCAUGUCCCCUUUCACUAGCCAGGUUUUGAAAAACUUGUUUCAACAAUGUUCAGCUAGAUAAUAGGUCCCUGAGCAAGUAACAGUGAAGUGGUACAAAUAUUAAAAGCAUUCCGUGCCCUUUGAAAAUAUUAUGAAAGUUACUGCACAGAUGGGCUGAAAGUUUAAUUACCUCGAAAGAAGAGUGUCAGAGUCAUCAUCGCUGCUGCAACAACUGGAAAUGUAACAACCAAAAUAUCCAUCAGGAAAUGACUCUGAGAGUAUAUAUCAAAUGCACUGAAGAAACAGCUGCCAUUCCAUUUAUGUCACCCAGACAUGAGAAUUGCAGGGAUUGGAAUAACAUGAAGAUGCCGCAUUGGCUUUUUCUUAAUUUGACAUUUUCUAGGCAUUUCUCAAAUGUGCCAGACUGGGAGAAAUGUAUGAAGUAGAGUAACACGCACCAAGUGAAACAACUCAGGUUCAAUUUCAUGUAUUUUUGGUGUGCAAUUUUGUGUGUGUGUGUGUUCAUAGUUCUAUUACAGGGUGUAAAAUUUAAUUUUUAGUACAUUUUUAUUACAGAGAUAAGAUAACUAAUAUUAUCUACAUAGAAUUGCUAAGCUUUCUUUAAACGAAAAUGUUAUGCAAUUUGGGUCUUCGUAAAUGGUCUCUAAUAAUGUUUUCUACUGUUAUAUAUUAUUAUAUAAAUACUUGAUGUGAAAUCCUAUUUCAGCACCAUAGCUGUAUGGCAGAUGUCAGAAUGUGUGAGAAGAAACAUUCAACAAAGGUUAUUUUUUCAGAGUAAGUAUUCAUUCCUCUGCAUCAAAGGAGAAAGUGCAUAAGGAGAUUGUAAGAAUAUUUAAAAACUGCUCUUCAGACAACUUACUGUAAGUCAUAUGGCCCACUAUGGCAUCUUGCCAUUCUCCGCAUUCUGUUGUUGCUGGCAAUGUUUUAGCCAGAAUUCUUUAAGCCUGAUUUAUUAUUACAGAUAAUGGUAAACUAUGUCGUUAGGAAGCACAAUAUAGUUGAGAGCUAUAAAAGAGACGUGUGUUCAUUUAUAUUUAUCAGAGUAAGUUUUAAAAGUACAAGAAACAAUACCGCAUAUUCUGGAAAAUAUUACAGAAUCUAAGCUAGUAUAAAGAGAUGUAUAUAUUAAUAUCAAUUUCUGAGAAGCAUUAUGAUUUGUGGUUAAUCAAACCUAAAUAUGCUGAAUCCCAACUGAAUUAGGGAGAACUAGUUUUUACUCCCAAACAUGCAUUUAAUAUAUAAGCCAAGUCUUACCUGAGAUCUUGGGAAAUGAGAAUAGAACUGGGAAGAUAGUUACAUAUAGAGUGGUGGCUAAUAAAUAAGUAGUAGCUUCUGUAAUUUGGACA